UAGGUUUAGAAGAGCCCAUAUCUUUUCUAUUUUUAUUUCUGGAUCUGGGGUACUAUCAUUGAUUUAUCCAUGGUUUUUGAGAAACAUCAGAGACUCAAGAGGAGACUUGUUGAUAUGUUAAAAGGACUUCUAGGGAAGGUUGUUAAGAUCCCAACCUUAAUGAACUGAAAUUUGUGUAUUCUGCAUAGGAUCUCUGCAUACAUAGGACUGUGGUAAGGAUUGCAGAUUGACUUUAGGAUACUAAGUUCUCGAGGUAAUACCAUUUUACUGGCUUGAAUCACAAUAAGUUUUGUUUUACAAAAUGUGUUAACAUCAUCAAAAUGGUAAGUGGUGGUGCUUUUCAACAGUUUAACACUCUAAAAUCUGUAAUUCUAUUAUACUAGUUUAGUAAUAUUAAAAUAUAUUGUAAUGCACUAUUGCUAUCAUGUGUCAUAACUCAUACAAAAUUACAAGUGGUCUUUGAAAUGAAUUACAACAUAUGGAAGAUACCAGGACAUUUUAGUAGGGUCAUCAGUUCUGAUCCAAUCUUACGGAAGCAGUUUGAUCUCGAGUCAGAUCUUAAUCUUCAGAGUCUUGUAUCAAGAUGUUCAUGCAUCCCAAAAUCAACUAAUUUUGUAGUCAUGUUUAUUGUGUGAGCUGUGAGGAGAAUGAUGAUAUGAUUGUGGGUAUACAUGGAAAAAUGGAAAUUUCAAAAGAUUGGAAUCAAGAUUUUCUGAAGGGAUUCUAGGGAACAAGAAGUACAAUGGCUCUAGGAGUCUAGGGGAGGAGAUGCAGGGUGCACCUAAGUGAACAAACUACUAUGGAGGCCUUCAUCUUUCGACUUUAUAUACGGGUCUUAACUUUAGGACCCAUA